rnacentral:rRNA from 1 species
UACGAAGGGGCUAGCGUGCUCGGAAUUACUGGGCGUAAAGGGCGCGUAGGCGGAUAUUUAAGUCGGGGGUGAAAGCCCAGGCUCAACCCUGGAACAGCCUUCGAUACUGGAUAUCUUGAGUACGGGAGAGGUGUGUGGAACUGCGAGUGUAGAGGUGAAAUUCGUAGAUAUUCGCAAGAACACCAGUGGCGAAGGCGGCUCACUGGCCCGAUACUGACGCUGAGGCACGAAAGCGUGGGGAGCAAAGCAGG